rnacentral:lncRNA from 1 species
CCUUUCCUCCCUUCCCUUCACAGGUUGCCCCAUAGUGACCCUGGAGACUCCCGCCUGCCCCCAGUGAAGGAAUUGGUUACUCUCCCAGAGCCCUCCCGGGCAUCGCCCCCUUCCUCACUUCCUCCUCUUCCUGCCCCCAGCCUCUACCCCUCCAGCCUCCUGUGGCUUCACAGGCAAGUGCCGCAUCCCAGGAAGAAGGAGUUGGAGCUCCGUGAUGCCAUUCAAAAACAGAUGAGAUGGGGACAGAUUUAACCCAAAGGACAUAGUUCAACUCCUGGUCUUGACAGAGGAGAAGCCCUCAAAGCCUCUCUCAAUUGCCUUCUCAGCUUGUAUGCUUUGAAGAAGCAAGCUGCAGUGUUGGAGAGGCCCAUGUGGCAAGGAAAUGAGGGUGGCCUCCAGUCAAUGGCUGGUGAGAAACUGAGACCUUCCUUCCAACAAUUGUCAAGUAACUGAAUACUCCCAACAAUCAUAUGGGUUAGGUUAGAAGUGAACCUUUCUCUAGUUGAGGUUUCAGAUAAGACCACAGAUAUUAUACUAACACCUUGAUUGCAGGCUUAUGAGAAACCUUGAAAUGAGAAGACUAAGUAAAACCAUAUCUGGAUUCCUGACUUGCAGAAACUGUGUGAUGAUAAAUGUGUGUUAUCUUAAGCCACAAAGUUUUUGGGGUGAUUUGUUCUACAGCAAUUGAUAAUGAAUACUUCAACCUAUAGUGACAACUGGAUGUCUAUUUACUCAUUUUCCCCACCAAAGUGUAAAGUUCCUACAAGGCAGAGGUUACAACAUAUUCAUCCUGCUACCUCUCACAGCCCAUAAUAUACAACCUGACCCAUAAAACAUGAUUAAUCAAUGUUUGUUAAAUUAACAUGUAUUUUGAGUUUCAUUGAAAUCAGUUAGUUGAAGUGAUAAUAACAUUUAAAUGUGCAUGAGCAGUAGGACAAGGCAGAUAGCUGGUUAGGAUAGAAAGUUUUUGAAAAUUGUGAGGGGAAAAAUUAUUUCUAUUUGUACCCUGUUGUACCCAGCUUAGGUUUCAAAAACUUUCAGGGGGUUUUUAUUCAUUUACCAAAGACUUCAAAGUUGGUGCCUCCCCACCACUCUAAAGAGGUCUUUGCCCUUAUUGACCCAACCAUACUGAUUUGCCUGGUGCACAGUGGGAGCUAUUAUAAGGAGAGGGGAGAAGAAGGAAAUAGAAACAACUGUGAAAAAGGUUGAAAAAAAUAGCGAAAAGGAUAGAAAAAGAGCAGAGGAAAGAGAAGAAGUAGUCAACAUCCAACCCAGAUGCAGAGAAAUGAUUCAAAAGAAAAAGUCUGAUUUUCCUGUCGGAAAUAUUUUUAAAAGGAGGUAGGCAUUUAUCAAAAAGGAAAAAAAAAAAAAAAGAAUAACAGAGUUUGUCUUCCAAAGGACCCAAUACUCUUGGAAUUCAAUGACCUAAUUCUGUGUAUGGUUGCAGUGUGGAGAUUGCCUCUUGUCUGAUUCUCAUGGCAUUGAGACCUCUGAUUUCUCAACAGCACAUGCCACAGCACUAUCAGAAGUCAGGAAUAAAGAACAGAGGGUGUGGGGGGCAGUCUAGAUAUUAUGCUCAGCAAACAUAUUUUUAAAUCAGUGUAAAUUCUAUCUUGCUGGUUGCUUAUCUUAGCAGUUAAAUCAACUUUUCGUUACUUUUGUAGACAUUAUAUAAUAUCUUCUCCCCGCAGCUCCAGCCACCAGCUGUUAGUCAGCAGAAUGGGAGAGGGACUGGGUCAGCUUAAGCUGAAUAACUUCCAUGGUGACAUUUGAGGGAACCAAUUCCCAGCCACUGAACAAACCUAAAUGUUCUGCUAUGGCCAUAGAACCAAAUAGAUCUUAACAAAGAAACCUGAGAGCAUUCAAAGGUCAAAACAAUUGGAGCUAGUUCCUUCAAGCUUAAAUAUGCUCAUCUGUAAAGUGGGGACAAUAACUGUGUGUCUUAUAGGGUUAUUUUGAAGGCUAAAUAUGUGUAAAAGCCUCAGUCUACUGAAAGGUUGCUCAACUGUAACACUCUUUUCAUUUUGUGAGGGAUCAUUCUUUGUUGGAGGUUAGGGACACUGUCUCGUGCAUUACAGGAUGUUUAGCAACAUCCUCAGCUUCUAUCCAUCAGAUGUUAGCACCCCCCCCACGGACCACCAUCUUCUCCAUCAUCACCAUCAAAUAUGUCUCCAGACAUUUCCAAGUGUCCCCUGGGAGGCUAAAACUGCCCCUGGUUGAGAACCACUGUUCUAGUACUUGGCAUUGUUCCAUAAACAUCAGAUGAUAUUUUUAUCAUUAUAAUUAUUACUAAAGGCAACAUCACCCUGCUAUGGAGACAGGUCCUUGGUCUCACGGAAUCCCUGCAAUAGUUGCUGCAUUUCUGCAUCUUUCUGAGAGUAAGGGUUGAAAAGAGAUAAGGUCAAUUCAUCUGACAACAAUCCAAUGGGAAACCUACUGUCUCCGUAGAAAUUCUUUUCAUGGAAAGAAAAGGGGCUACCAUUUUGAUCUGCUGCAGGAACUAGGUCUAUUCCUCAGCCUCACAGUUUGCAAAACGCUACAGACUUUUCCAUGGGCAUAAAUUCUCCAGCUUUAGGGAUUGCUGGUAUAGUUGACUCUUGAAGCUGCUCUUGGAUUUCCAAGGGUAGCACCAUUUUUACCUGAGAAAAGAAGGAAAAAGAUAUUCAAGAAGGAGAACUUUUCAACAGAAGUUACUCCAUUUGCUGUUUUUGUGGUUUUGUGCUUGUUUAGGUUUGCAAGUGUGUUUUCUGCCCAAAUUGUUCUUGCAUAUUCUAACAGUGUUUGCUUUACGUGUUUUGAUGCCACGCUGUUUUGAAGGUACAAAUGUUUUUCAUGGCAUGUCUUGUGUUAAGUGUACAAACUGAGACGUGAAUGUCAGUGACUGAAUAGAGUACAGUAUUCCUCAAAGUUUGUAACUAAAUAAACCCUAAGAGAAAAGUGAAGCGAGAUUUCUGGAGGUCUGGAAGUGGCCAGCUGACAAUAUACAUCUCUGUAUCUCCUAUUUUUAUCUUUAUGCUAAAUGCAAAUUUUACUUUCUGUGCUAAAAUAAUGUUUCAUUAGUUUCAAGGUAAAAAUGUGUAAAUAGACUUUCCGUACUGGCUUGUUUAUUCUGUGGUUUUUCCUACUCCCUUUUUAAAAGUAUGUACAGUGAAUUUGCAAAGAUCAUAGUAUUGGAAUCUAACCCACCUGAAUUUCAGUCCUUGGCUAUACUACUGAUAGAAUGGAUUAACUUGGGCAUAUCACUUAAUCCUGAGGACCCUCAGUUUCCAUAUCCGAAAUGAAGAAGUAAGAAGUGACCUACUAUAUCACACCAUUAUAAGAAGUAAAAGCAAUAUAUGUGAACAGUAGAGCAGAGGGCCAGGCACAGAAAGUUCUCUAUAGUCAUUAGCUGGCAUAAUUAUUAUAAAAGGGAGCACUUUUGAUGUAAAACAUAGGUAGAAGUUCACAAAUUUGUUAAUCUGCCCCUACCUCCCAACCGUCUACCUACCCUCCAUACCUGGCCACCUGCCUCAUACAGAUAUUGCCUAACUUUUAAAAAGGAACACUUUUGAUAUAAAACAUAGGUAGAGGGUCACGCAGUACAUGAAUGAGAAAUGAAACAGAGGCCUGUUAAUCUACUGUCACCUCCCAACCCUCUACCCACCCCCUAUACCUGGCCACCUGCCUCUGUGCAGAUCUUGCCUAACCUUUC